rnacentral:rRNA from 1 species
UGCAGUCGAGCGGACAGAUGGGAGCUUGCUCCCUGAUGUUAGCGGCGGACGGGUGAGUAACACGUGGGUAACCUGCCUGUAAGACUGGGAUAACUCCGGGAAACCGGGGCUAAUACCGGAUGGUUGUUUGAACCGCAUGGUUCAAACAUAAAAGGUGGCUUCGGCUACCACUUACAGAUGGACCCGCGGCGCAUUAGCUAGUUGGUGAGGUAACGGCUCACCAAGGCAACGAUGCGUAGCCGACCUGAGAGGGUGAUCGGCCACACUGGGACUGAGACACGGCCCAGACUCCUACGGGAGGCAGCAGUAGGGAAUCUUCCGCAAUGGACGAAAGUCUGACGGAGCAACGCCGCGUGAGUGAUGAAGGUUUUCGGAUCGUAAAGCUCUGUUGUUAGGGAAGAACAAGUACCGUUCGAAUAGGGCGGUACCUUGACGGUACCUAACCAGAAAGCCACGGCUAACUACGUGCCAGCAGCCGCGGUAAUACGUAGGUGGCAAGCGUUGUCCGGAAUUAUUGGGCGUAAAGGGCUCGCAGGCGGUUUCUUAAGUCUGAUGUGAAAGCCCCCGGCUCAACCGGGGAGGGUCAUUGGAAACUGGGGAACUUGAGUGCAGAAGAGGAGAGUGGAAUUCCACGUGUAGCGGUGAAAUGCGUAGAGAUGUGGAGGAACACCAGUGGCGAAGGCGACUCUCUGGUCUGUAACUGACGCUGAGGAGCGAAAGCGUGGGGAGCGAACAGGAUUAGAUACCCUGGUAGUCCACGCCGUAAACGAUGAGUGCUAAGUGUUAGGGGGUUUCCGCCCCUUAGUGCUGCAGCUAACGCAU